CUACGGGACGCUGCAGUGGGGAAUAUUGGACAAUGGGGGAAACCCUGAUCCAGCAAUGCCGCGUGUGUGAAGAAGGCCUGCGGGUUGUAAAGCACUUUCGGUUGGGAGGACUGGUUCUAGCACUAAUAUUGUUGGAAGUUGACGUUACCUUCAGAAGAAGCACCGGCUAACUCCGUGCCAGCAGCCGGCGGUAAUACGGAGGGUGCAAGCGUUAAUCGGAAUUACUGGGCGUAAAGCGCGCGUAGGCGGCUAGAUCAGUCGGGUGUGAGAGCCCCGGGCUUAACCUGGGAACUGCAUCCGAUACUGUCUAGCUUGAGUACAGGAGAGGAGAGUGGAAUUCCACAUGUAGCGGUGAAAUGCGUAGAUAUGUGGAGGAACACCAAUGGCGAAGGCAGCUCUCUGGCCUGAUACUGACGCUGAGGUGCGAAAGCGUGGGGAGCAAACAGGAUUAGAUACCCCCGUAGUC
rnacentral:rRNA from 1 species